AGCCCGUGACGUGCGGUGUAGCUGGGGAAACGCACCGUGGUUCCCCGUAGGGUCAGGAGAUCCCAAGCCCCAGGCUGGCGUGGGCGAAGCGUACAAUCCCUUCACCUUUCGUCACCCAGAGGCACAAGAAUCCAGUUCGCGCCAACUGAGCUGUUUCUUCCUUCCUCCCCGGCACUCUGGGAGUCCUGAGAUUGCCUUGCUCGGCUACAAGUGCAAAAAGCUGAAUGAAAAAUGGAAAGGUUACUGCUGAAAUAUUUACAGAUGGAAGGAUAUGAUGUCUAGAAUUUGUUUCAAACAUUGUCCUUAUUGGAGAUUCUGGUGUUGGAAAGAGUAAUCUCCUGUCUCGAUUUACUCGAAAUGAGUUUAAUCUGGAAAGCAAGAGCACCAUUGGAGUAGAGUUUGCAACAAGAAGCAUCCAGGUUGAUGGAAAAACAAUAAAGGCACAGAUAUGGGACACAGCAGGGCAAGAGCGAUACCGAGCUAUAACAUCAGCAUAUUAUCGUGGAGCUGUAGGUGCCUUAUUGGUUUAUGACAUUGCUAAACAUCUCACA
rnacentral:sRNA from 1 species